UACAAGUGCUAGUCGGAACUUCCUGAGGGCCUGAGGAAUUCGUGAAGCCUCCUAGAGGUGGGAGAGGGAAGCCAGAGACCUGGUGGCAGGAGCUUAAAGGCAGUCUGAGGAGACAAAACUAAUCCAAGUGGGAGACAGAGUUAGGAGACAGGGCAGGAGAGCCACAAAGGGAGACUGGAGUAUAGGCAGCCAAGAGACCACCCGACAGCUCAGCCAGAAAAGUAGUGAAAGACCCGCGGAUCCCCUUACCCAAGAAUCCAACACUGCCACUGGAUGCAAACAGCAAGAGGUUUAUUGUCACGCAGGUACCGGCGGGUGGUCGGCAGCUCCAGCUAACCGAGCACACCGACCGGAGUGAAGCAGGGUCUUUUAUAGGAAGGUACAAACAAGUUUUGGGUGGGGCGCAACUGAUUGGUGGACAGUUUGAACUUUUGAAAAAGGCAUACUUGGAGUUUGCGGAUUGGCUCCAGGGACCC